AGAGUUUGAUCCUGGCUCAGGACGAACGCUGACGGUGUGCUUUAGGCAUGCAAGUCGAACGAGAAAGCCCUUCGGGGUGAGUAAAGUGGCGAACGGGUGAGUAACACGUGGGCAACCUGCCCCUCGCAGGGGGACAACCGGAGGAAACUCCGGCUAAUACCCCGUACGUUCCCAGGGUCGCAUGGCCCUGGGAGGAAAGGUAGCUUCGGCCAUCCGGCGAGGGAUGGGCCCGCGGUGCAUUAGCUAGUUGGUGGGGUAACGGCCCACCAAGGCGACGAUGCAUAGCUGGUCUGAGAGGAUGAUCAGCCACACUGGGACUGAGACACGGCCUAGACUCCUACGGGAGGCAGCAGCCAGGAAUCUUGGGCAAUGGGCGCAAGCCUGACCCAGCAACACCGUGUGGGCGAUGAAGGCCUUCGGGUCGUAAAGCCCUGUUGAUAGGGACGAAGGGCGAAGGGUUAAUAGCCCCUAGUCUGACGGUACCUUUCGAGGAAGCCCCGGCUAACUACGUGCCAGCAGCGGCGGUAAUAC
rnacentral:rRNA from 1 species